rnacentral:rRNA from 1 species
CGGAGGAAAAGAAACCAACAGGGAUUGCCCCAGUAACGGCGAGUGAAGCGGCAACAGCUCAAAUUUGAAAUCUGGCUCUCGGGCCCGAGUUGUAAUUUGUAGAGGAUGCUUUUGGUGAGGUGCCUUCCGAGUUCCCUGGAACGGGACGCCAUAGAGGGUGAGAGCCCCGUCUGGUUGGACACCGAUCCUCUGUAAAGCUCCUUCGACGAGUCGAGUAGUUUGGGAAUGCUGCUCUAAAUGGGAGGUAUAUGUCUUCUAAAGCUAAAUACCGGCCAGAGACCGAUAGCGCACAAGUAGAGUGAUCGAAAGAUGAAAAGAACUUUGAAAAGAGAGUUAAAAAGUACGUGAAAUUGUUGAAAGGGAAGCGCUUGUGACCAGACUUGGGCUUGGUUGAUCAUCCGGGGUUCUCCCCGGUGCACUCUUCCGGCUCAGGCCAGCAUCAGUUUGCCCCGGGGGAUAAAGGCUUCGGGAAUGUGGCUCUCUCCGGGGAGUGUUAUAGCCCGCUCGCUGUAAUACCCUGUGGCGGACUGAGGUUCGCGC